UGUGAUCGAAGCUGUCAAAUGGUUUACAUCACUUAAAACGAAACCAAACGCCAUGAACAUAUUAGUCUAUUUACCAGUUACAGGAUGUCUUUUCAUUAUAACACUACGCAUCAGUUGCUUCAGUAUCCGACCUUGAAGUCAGCACUGUCUGCUCUUUUGAUUCUGUUAUUGUUGAAGGUAAAUUUUCUGGGAGAACCAACCGCUUUUCAAUGGGUCCAUAAUUCUUAAUUGUCUUGCUAUUGUACCCCAUUUGAAAAUGGCCCUCCAGAUUUAAAUCAUUACGACCAAAGCUAAUGCCAAAUCUGAACAUUUUCUGUCUAUUAUGAUCCUUGUUUCUCUUGACUUUAUCAUCAG
rnacentral:lncRNA from 1 species